AUACUUUUGCAUUUCAUAGAUAUAAUUGGGUGUUCACAUGCUUGUAGGAGACACGUCUCUUUCAAAUCUUGUGAUGUCAGCACAUUAUCCAUCUGAUG
rfam:Cavia porcellus supercont2_2 genomic scaffold, whole genome shotgun sequence.